CUGUGCUGACAGCACGUGUGGUCACUCAGUAAUGCAGCGUCAUUCAUCAGGAAACCAGCACUGGAGGACGGCACUCGGGAAGCGUUGCUGAGACAUUGUUUGUGGGAAAAAAGCUCGAUGAACUUUUUGGAGGCCAGAGGCUGCUGGGUAAUAAAGUCUACCCCAGACAGUUUUUGCAAUUGACCUUCAUCAGCUAACGGGAAGACUGCGAAGAAAACUCCGGUUUCAACACACUCCAGGAUUCUUCUAGUCUACUUGAUGGCUGGAGACAGUAGCAAGGGAGCCUGGGAUUCAUAAAAAUGAGAAGAAUAAGCUUGGAUAAGCUGAAAAUGCUCCAGGCUGUCCUGUGUCUACAGCUGGCUCCAUUCAAUCGUGGAUGGACCCAUUACUGCUGGGCAGACUCAUUACUGCUGGGCAGUGAGCUGCACGCCUGUAGCUAUGCUGUGGAGAGCCUGAAUGACCCCCUGUAAGGAUGCCAAGAAGGAGGGACACUACGCCAGGGGACAUUCUCACCUCUGCUCCCACAGGCUGUCUUCUGGCUAUUGAGUCUUUGAUCCGUGUAAAGGAAACUUGGACCAAGGAAUACAAACUGUUUUCAUUGAAAACAAGCUGGUCAAGCUGUUCAGUCUGCCCAGACAUGAAUCACUGGCAGUUAAAGCCAGGCUAAAGGUAAUAAUAUUGCUGAAAUAGAGCCUUUUAAGGCAAGUGUUUAACAAAAGCAGUAAUGAUUGGUAUUGGGUAGCGGUGAUGGUGGGUGGUCCCUAUAGCAAGAAUUACAGAUGGGAAACCUGAAAGCCACAUGUGUCUUAUUAGCCCCGUGUGCAGUAUCUUUAAAAAUGAUUAGCUAGUGGAUUUUAAAAUGAAAUUUCUGAUUUCGGUUGAAAAAAUUUGCCACAUGGCCUGGAAUGUAAAAGAAAUAAGGCUCCCCACUUCUUUAUUUCCCUAUAUCCUGGCCCAAGGGGCACAGGGUUGCAACUCCUGUCCCUUAGAGUUUUGAGCCAUCUUUUAGAAUAUAUUAGAAGAUAUUAAAGAAACAAUUAAUUAUAGCUUGAAAAUAAUUUUUAAAGAAAUAAAGAGGGGCUGGA